rnacentral:lncRNA from 8 species
AGACCCUCCAGUAGACCAGUAUGGGUUGAAGGGAGGUUCGGUGUGUCGGCUGUUGCAGAACCACCUGAUCAACUCAAAGGAAUUACAUGGAAGUUCCAAAAGGAUGUAAUAGUGGAUAAAAAAGACAUCUCUCCUAAAUACAAGGAGAAGGUGGAUUAUAAUCCAGCGAACCACACUCUGUGCAUUAAGAAUCUGACAGACACAGACAGUGGAAUUUACAUUGCAAAUGCAAAUAAAAUAGGUUGGACAGAUUCAACGUCUUCAUAUAGACUUAAGGUGUUGGAAGCUGUUCCCAUUCCAGCCAUGCAGGUGACCUACUCCAACUCAAGUACAGGACUUUGUAACAUCACAGUGAAUUGUUCAGGCUGGAUGUUUUCUGUCUGUGAUGGAGGUCAGUGCCCACUGUACCAGGAAUCUCUGUCAGUCUCUGAGGUCAACAUCACCGUCUCCAGUGGUAAUGGAUUCAUCCAGUGUAUCAACAAUCAUGUCAACGCAGAGGCCAAAUCACAACGCAUGGAGGACAUAUGUAAGUUUAAUUAACUCACUUCCACUUUCUGUGAAUUCCUCUAGCAUUAUAAAAAAAAAAAUCAACAAAGUUGUAAUAUCAUUGCAGUUAUAUUCUUCUUAAGCAAAAAUGUGGAUAUGCUCCUUUUUGUGUGUGUUAUGUAAAUGAGUGGGUCUGUGUGUGUGUGUGACAUCUCAGGUAUUGGUGAGAAGAAGAGGAUCGCUGCAGCAUCACUAGUUGGCAUCAUUGUGUGCAUUGUUACUGGUGGAUUAUUCUUAGUUGGUGUAGGAUGCAUCAUAUCAACCAGAAGAUCCCCUAAAGAAAUACUACCACUGAAGGUACCCUCUCAUUAAUCUAUGUUUAAACAACCGUAGAGUCUAUUGACGCACCAUUGCGUAACUAUAUGUAAAAUAAUAAUAAAAUCCACGUUCAAAUCUGUCAGGUUAAGCUAGACAUCAGUUUUUUUGUUGCAUGGGCUGAAUCUCAAUCAACCGUAGAUACGGAAGGCCGCUAUAGACGGAUGUGGUAGAUUGAGAUGCAGCCCAUGCUACAGCAGUGUUUGUCAGACCAUGAGACAUCCCUGAAAUCGGUUGUCUCAGGAAAAUGUCUGUAGCAUCUGAACGGUUUUGGCUACAAACGAAUGUGACCACACUGUAGAAAGGGGAGCUUUUUUUUCUCCAUUUUGCUCUACGACCUGUUUGAAGGUAACCGAUACUUCUUUAAAAAAUGUAUGGAAGUAUGGAGGUAUAGUUAAAUAUGUGGGGGGAAAAAAGCAAAUAUAUUUGCUGAGAUUUCUUGUAUCUCCUAGAUAUAGGACAGACACUUCAAAACCUUACUCCUUAAUUAUUUUUAACAGUCUUUUUUGUCAUUUAUGAAUGUGUUAUUCAAUGCGUUUCUAUGGGAUUUGGGACUAAAGGCCAAAUUCAAUAUUUUAUCAAAACAUUUACAAAUUCAAUAUCAAAUAGCUAAAUGAUGCAUGGUAUGACCAUGUUAAAACAUUUCCCCACCGCCCAACAUCUUAGAGUCUAGAGAAUUUUAAACAAUGAUCAUUUGCAUGUUAUGAUUACUCAUCUCCUAACAGGCCGUUGUUCCAGAAGUUGACAACCCAGUGAGCGCUGUACCAGGAAGACCAGAACCACAGAACACCCCUGGAUCUGAGGUGACAUCUAUCUACGUUACUUCUGGGAGACCAGGAGCAGUACCAGCAGUAGCAGAAGGAGAAGAGGGCCAUCCAGGGGACAAAGAGUACACUUCAUCAGAAGAGAGGAAAGAACCACAGUCCCCCCCACAGGCAGAGACACUCUACAGCACCCUACAGAUACCAGUUGCAGCACAGCGCCACCCAGUGGGCAAAGGAAAUAAUCUAAAGAAACCAGACACGGUGUACUACACAAUAGGAGAUUACCCCUCCAUCUUCUCAGAGACCCAGUGAUGUUACUUUGAUUAAGAUUUAACCCAUAGACUCAGGUACUGAAUGCAAACACAGGGGAAAUUAUGAAGGAGAGAGAAUUAUGAUAAUGGAUUUUUUAUUUUUUGUCUGAUUUCAUCCAUAUUUAAAGUGGCAAUCUGCAAUUCCUUUGUACUUUUAAAUUCAUUGUAUAUAACUAUUGAUCCAUGCUGAAUACAUAUGCUUUUUUAACUCCAUUGUUUGUAAAAAUGGUAUUUGUAAAAAAAAUUGGUGGCAGGGUACCCGCGUUGUUAUGAUUUAAACUGCAGAUUUCCCCUUUAGUGAUAGAAUGUUUUACAUACUGUUAUUUUCUGUAAACAAAAAUGAAACCAUGCAGAUGAAUACAGUAGCGCUGUACAUGCUUUAAAAAAGUGUUUAUAUACAAAACAGCGGUUUGAAAAUGGGAAGCCCAUCCAUUCAGUCAAUCAAUCAAAUCGACCAACCAAUAAAUCAAUACAUAAACCAAUCAUUCAGUUAAUAAAAAAAAUCAAGCAAGUUACAGCCUACCCAGUAUGAAAUAAUGUUUCUAUUUUAAUACAUACUGUAUGUCUAAUUAUUUCAUACGAUGAGAAUUCAUAUUUACAAAUAUAACUAUAAAAAGGUAUCUGUCACAUCCAGCUGCUUAUGUGGAGGAACUACAGAUAUGGCAGUCAAUUAUGACUAAAAGCAUUUGUCCUGUGGACAAAAGCUCACAUAUCGGAGUGGCUGCAGUUCUGGAUUUUCUGGAAACCCGAUAAUAGUUUAUUUAUUUAUAUAGAUGCUGUCUACUCCGCUGCCUACAUAGCUGCUGCUAAACUCUCCACUGCCAUUAGCCUACAUCAUCACACAAAACGCAGAUUGUUUUUGCUCCAAUGUGUAGGGACUGAUUCCUGCUUGUGCAAUUGCCAUUAAAAACAGAGAAGGUUGUAACCUUCAUAAAGGCCUUGACUGUUUGUUCAAACGAGGCAGAGAUUUAGGCUACAUCAUCAUGGUUCAGAGGAUGGUGAGUAAAGAGAGAAACGUGAAGGGAGGUUGAGUGUGAACAGCAGCUACGUAGAAAUAAUGUGUGUAUGUAAAAACAGAAUGUGAUCCGUAGCUUUAAGAGGUUUCCAGAGCGGUGGUCCUCAAAUACAGUGAAAUAUAGCUAGUACUCUGCGUUAACAUCCACAUCAUACAUUAUGGGUUCGUUUUCCUGGACAUAGAUUAAGCCUAGUCCCAGACUAUAAACUACGUUAAAUGGAGAAUCUUCACUGAAUAUGCUUCUUAGUCCAGGACUGAAUUGACUGGAAUUUUAAUGGAUUUCAAACCAACCCUGUCGUUUAGUGUUACUGUUAUUUUAUGUUUUCUUCUUCACUGGAAUAUAUGUAUUGGCAGUGGCGAUUUUAGCAUGUAAAUCUUGGUGGGGCAAAAAAUAAAUGAAGUGGAAUGCAUGCCAGCAAAGCCACUACACAACACAACACUAAACAAUACAUGCAUUUCACUAUAUCGGUGACAAACGCACAAACUGUUAGGACGUACACAAAGCUGUCCCAACAGCAGAGUCCCAACACCUUACCGCACCGCUUCACCUGGCUAUCAGCGGAGCCUCGUCUGGCAGCAGAACAGUUCAUUCAGCCUAAUUUACUGCCUUUAAAAAAUAACAUAGCUAUAUGCCUGACUUGCUAAACAAAUGUGGUUUCUACUGACAUUUGAGAUGUACAAGCUAUGGCAUAAGGGGACGACAAGCGGAUGAGGCAAUCCGUAAUUUCGAUUAAGACAUUAAUGAGCGAGGGCGGACGUAGUCAAUAUAACUAUUUGUUCAGCACUUUUGAAAUGUAAAGCGACAUAAUUCAGAACAUGGGCCGCUCUUAUAGACCAAAUUAUUAGGGUGAGGAACAUUGAACGCCGUUUGGGUCUUUGCGUGUCAAAACAGAUACAGGUCAUAUAGCACUAUUUGACACGUUAAAUAACACAAUUCUAUUAUAGAAUGUUGUGUGUGCUGAAUUUGCACGUGCAAGCCAAGCGCCACCACUACUAGCAGCACCACUGUCAAAGCUGUACAUAAAAGUUUGCAAACAAGCACACGAACAAUGUGUUUACAAUUCCGCGUUGGUGAAAAUAGACCAAAUUAUUAGGCUGAGGCACAUGUUCUACUAACAGCUUACUAGCCAACAUACACUUAGUAUUACUUUCUUAGCUACAUCAUACAUAUCUCCCUGGCAUAUUACAUCAAUUAUUCAGCAGCAUACAAGACAUUUUCGGACUCACGUUGUGAUGUGCUCACUUAAACAGGAACAAGCUAUGGCAUAAGGCGACGACAAGCGGAUGAGAGGCAAUCCGCGGCGGUCCUUUAUGGGCAACUUUUGUCAUCAAACUUUGUCAUCAAAGUCUGGCAUUCUCUGGAUUUAUGGUGGGGAUUCAGAAAAAAGACACACAGCCACUCCAUUGAAUAGCAGGCUAGUGGAUGCUUUGCCAUUCUUGCAGUUAGCCAGUGAUUCCUUCCAAACCACUCAUUGUUGAAUUUGCGAUUUCCAAAUUGUUGUGUAAUUUUUAUGUCCAAUGGCCGAUGAGCACCGAUACAUUUUAUCAAUAAUUUAUAUUCAUAUGACAAGGUUUAAAAAGGAUUUGCCAGUAGAUUGUUGACUUGAUUCAUGAUGAUGACUGCUAGCUAAGACUUUGAAAGUAAGACGUUGACAUGAUCAGUCCAAUCACAGCAACUGUACAUAUAACUUGAUUUGAUUAACUUCAUUUUAUCUGUGGCUAAUGACCUUGAGCCUUCUUGGAAGGGCACUUGUAAUAUAACUCUACAGCAGUACCCAAAGGGCUGCAAUUUUGGAUGUCUACCCUUGCUAAGGACUUAAACUUGGCGAUGACGUAGUGUCCUCGUGAGUGACAGAACACUGAGCCAAUCACGG